UGUGAGAGCAAGAGCCCGGAGAUGGAUUCUGAGACACGAAUCCAGGCCCUACGGGGUGCAGCAGGCGCGAAAACUUUACAAUGCCGGCAACGGCGAUAAGGGGGCCUCGAGUGCCAGGUUACAAAUCUGGCUGUCGUGAUGCCUAAAAAGCAUUGCAUAGCAAGGGCCGGGCAAGACCGGUGCCAGCCGCCGCGGUAACACCGGCGGCUCGAGUGGUAACCGUUAUUAUUGGGUCUAAAGGGUCUGUAGCCGGCCGGAUAAGUCUCUUGAGAAAUCCAGCAGCUCAACUGUUGGGCUUUCAGGAGAUACUGUUCGGCUCGAGGCCGGGAGAGGUGAGAGGUACUUCAGGGGUAGGGGUGAAAUCUUGUAAUCCUUGAAGGACCACCAGUGGCGAAGGCGUCUCACCAGAACGGCUCCGACAGUGAGGAACGAAAGCUGGGGGAGCAAACCGGAUUAGAUACCCGGGUAGUCCCAGCUGUAAACGAUGCGCGUUAGGUGUAUCGGUGACCACGAGUUACCGAGGUGCCGAAGGGAAACCGUGAAACGCGC
rnacentral:rRNA from 1 species